rnacentral:rRNA from 1 species
UGCGUAGGUGGCGUGGUAAGUCAGAUGUGAAAGCCCGGGGCUCAACCUCGGAACUGCAUCCGAUACUACCAUGCUAGAGUAUUGAAGGGGAAACUAGAAUUCUCGGUGUAGCAGUGAAAUGCGUAGAUAUCGAGAGGAAUACCAAAGGCGAAGGCAGGUUUCUUGGCAAUUACUGACACUGAGGCACGAAGGCCAGGGUAGCGAACG